ensembl:lncRNA
GCCAGAGGGACAGUGUAGCUGUGAGUUCAUUGCCCUGGGUUUCAGCUGGCGCUCUCUGCCCUUGCAUCCAGUAGGGGCCAGGGAAAGGCUGCUGGGUCACUGACCUGAGGGCAGGAGGGGGCAGAGGAGAGCCACUCUGAACUUGAACGUUGGCUGAGAAACUCUGAAAUAAAAAAGCCAGGGAUGCUGGACGAGUCCAUUUACAUUCUAGUCCUUCUCUCUAGAGGGAAAUCAGUCUUCCUGUGGAGGCAUUCAGGUCUCAAAGCACAUCACCUAGAUAUCUUUGCACCCAGGGCACUCACAUCAGGGUCUUAAGACUGAGCAGCAGCAACCAACAUAACAAAGCACUUUUCAGAUUCCGCUCUUAUCCGACCUUUACAACAACUGUUUUGUUUCCUUAUUGGUUUUUCUGGAAUCAAAGAUAAUGCCUGCUUGUUGUAGAAAAUUUUUAAGUUUUCAGGAAAGCAUAAAGGAGAAAAAAAAUCCCACCCAAAUCCCACUGAGACAACGGUGUUUUCAUGGACCCGCUUCCAGAGCUCCCUUAUUGGAUUACAGAUGGAUAUAAUUUUACCUACAUGGGGUGAUAUUAUUGUGUUUGCUGGGUUCCUGGUAGAGAUACACGGAAUAUCCAAUUACGCUCUGACAUGCAGUGGUGAUCUGCCAUCUCUGCCUGCUCCCCACAUCGUGCCAGCUGGUCCAUCCCAAUGGGCAGAGUGGCAGGGGCACCGUGGGACCCUCCUCCCCAGCACAGAGCAGAUUCUUCCUCCCAGCCUCUGAGGAAACCACCCCCACUGACACCUUGACCUUGGACUUCCAGCCUCCAGAACUGUGAGAUAACCAAUUUCUCUUGUUUAUGUCACCCAACUGUAGUACUUUAUAAAGGCAGCCCCAGCAAACAGAGAUGGUGGGGCGCUGUGAGAGAGGACAGACCUCUGCCUCUUGCCACCUGUGUGACUUUUGAGAAGUUACUGACUGUCACCAAGACUAGUUCCUUUUUCUGUGAAAUGGGGUUAACACCAGUGACUGCCUCACGAGGCUGAGUGAGGCCUGGCAUGAAAUGCCCUAGAUCCAGUCCUUGGCACAAAAUGAUCAGAACUAAUCACAGAUGUGCAAAUUGGUUACCACUGGGGAACAUAGGAGGCCCUGAAAUUCGCUUUACGUUGCUUCACAAGUAUGUGUUUUUCCUUCUCUUCAAAAUACUAAACUGUCAGAGUUCCCGUCAUGGCUCAGUGGUUAAUGAAUCCAACCAGGAACCAGGUUGAGGGUUCAAUCUCUGGCCUCGCUCAGGGGGUUAAGGAUCUGGUGUUGCUGUGGCUGUGGUGUAGGCUGGCAGCUGUAGCUCCUAUUGGACCCCUAGCCUGGGAACAUCCAUAUGCUGUGGAAGUGGCCCUAGAAAAGACAAAAAAUUUAAAAAAGUGAAAAAACCCAAAACUGAACUAAACUCUCUCUGGCAGGGAAUGGUUCAUCAUACUGAAUCCCCAGUGGCAUCAGGGCAGUUGUCUCACUUAUAUAAAUGCUCAACAGAUAUUUCUACUCAGAUGUGUUCUGUGUUAGGAUUGUAUCAGAGUAAAUUCUAAAGUAAAGACCUUAGAGUUCCGGUCAUGGCUCAGUGGUAACGAAUCUGACUAGUGUUUGAUCCCUGGCCUUACUCAGUGAGUUAAGGAUCCAGCAUUGCCGUGAGCUGUGGUGUAGGUUGCAGACGUGGCUCGGAUCUGAUGUUACUGUGGCUGUGGCGUAGGCCGGCAGCUGUAGCUCCAAUUGGACCCCCAGCCUGUAA